rnacentral:rRNA from 1 species
AUUGAACGCUGGCGGCAUGCCUUACACAUGCCAGUCGAACGGCAGCACGGGUGCUUGCCCCUGGUGGCGAGUGGCGAACGGGGGAGUGAUACAUCGGAACAUGUCCUCUAGUGGGGGAGAGCCCGUCGAAAGCCGGAUUAAUACCGCAGACGAUCUACGUAUGAAAGCGGGGGACCUUCGGACCUCGCGCUAUAGGGUUGGCCGAUAGCUGAUUAGCUAGUUGGUGGGGUAAUGGCCUACCAAGGCGACGAUCAGUAGCUGGUCUGAGAGGACGACCAGCCACACUGGAACUGAGACACGGCCCAGACUCCUACGGGAGGCAGCAGUGGGGAAUUUUGGACAAUGGGCGAAAGCCUGAUCCAGCAAUGCCGCGUGUGUGAAGAAGGCCUUCGGGUUGUAAAGCACUUUUGUCCGGAAAGAAAACCUUGGCUCUAAUACAGUCGGGGGAUGACGGUACCGGAAGAAUAAGCACCGGCUAACUACGUG